AGUGAACGCUGGCGGUAGGCCUAACACAUGCAAGUCGAACGGCAGCACAGUAAGAGCUUGCUCUUACGGGUGGCGAGUGGCGGACGGGUGAGGAAUACAUCGGAAUCUACUUUUUCGUGGGGGAUAACGUAGGGAAACUUACGCUAAUACCGCAUACGACCUACGGGUGGAAGCAGGGGAUCUUCGGACCUUGCGCGAUUGAAUGAGCCGAUGUCGGAUUAGCUAGUUGGCGGGGUAAAGGCCCACCAAGGCGACGAUCCGUAGCUGGUCUGAGAGGAUGAUCAGCCACACUGGAACUGAGACACGGUCCAGACUCCUACGGGAGGCAGCAGUGGGGAAUAUUGGACAAUGGGCGCAAGCCUGAUCCGGCCAUACCGCGUGGGUGAAGAAGGCCUUCGGGUUGUAAAGCCCUUUUGUUGGGAAAGAAAAGCAGCAGGUUAAUACCCCGCUGUUCUGACGGUACCCAAAGAAUAAGCACCGGCUAACUUCGUG
rnacentral:rRNA from 1 species